GUCCAUGGCCAUACUACCCAGAACGCGUCCAAUCUCAUCUGAUCUUGAAAGCUAAGCAGGUUCGGGCCUGGUUAGUACUUGGACAGGAGACACAAUAAAUGUCAGUGGAAA
rfam:Heterocephalus glaber contig239849, whole genome shotgun sequence.